UUGGAGGAGGGGCCAGUGGGAGGCCCAGCAGCAGUAGGGAGCGUUGUCGGUAACCGAAGGGGCUCUGGUGAAUUUCAGCCUGAAAAGUCAAACUGGAGCUCCGGCUUAGGGCAGGGACUUCCACUCCAGGGGACCCGGGCACCGACCAGAAUGAAGUCCUGCUGCGCCGGCCAGAGGCGAAAAUGGGAUGUGGACUGCAAACUGGAAGAAUUCGGCUGGACUCGGGUCCUCGAGGCCCCAGCUUUGGACCUGCAGCCUGAAACGAGCGCAUCCUUGAGUGGGAGUGAGCGUGUCCUCCCAGUUCCGAGAUGCGCGCCCGCAGCGCGGGAUUCCAAUGGCCAGAGCACGCAAAGGGAUGUGUCUGGCCCAAACCAACCACUUCCCCUUCCCGAGCCCACUAUGUCUCCCACACAGUGAAAAUGUUUUGUUGUUGUUGUUUUAAAGAAGAGAGUGAGAGAGAUAUUUAUGCACAUAUUUAUCCCUCUAAUUACAGGAAUUAAUCCUCUUAUGACUAAAAGGUAACAUGGAAGGACGUCCUUUUGAUGUGGAAAAGCACCAUUUGUGACUCACAUUCAGACUGAUUAAGGAAUAAUUGUUGUUAAACGCUUUGCAAGAGGAAAGUGUUUAAUUGAGGGGCAUUCGUAAUUUUACGGCUUAGUGCAAAAUUAAACGUAAUUAAAAACUCA